rnacentral:rRNA from 1 species
ACAGGUGCUGCAUGGCUGUCGUCAGGCUCGUGUCGUGAGAUGUUGGGUUAAGUCCGCAACGAGCGCAACCCUUGUCAUUAGUUGCUACAUUUGGUUGGGCACUCUAAUGAGACUGCCGGUGACAAACCGGAGGAAGGUGGGGAUGACGUCAAGUCCUCAUGGCCCUUAUAGGUGGGGCUACACACGUCAUACAAUGGCCGGUACAAAGGGUCGCAAACCCGCGAGGGGGAGCCAAUCCAUCAAAGCCGGUCGUAGUCCGGAUCGCAGUCUGCAACUCGACUGCGUGAAGUCGGAAUCGCUAGUAAUCGUGGAUCAGCAUGUCACGGUGAAUACGUUCCCGGGUCUU